rnacentral:rRNA from 2 species
CACGUAGUUAGCCGGGGCUUCCUCCUCAAGUACCGUCAUUAUCUUCCUUGAGGACAGAGCUUUACGACCCGAAGGCCUUCAUCGCUCACGCGGCGUUGCUGCAUCAGGCUUUCGCCCAUUGUGCAAUAUUCCCCA